rnacentral:rRNA from 1 species
CGGACGGGUGAGUAAUGUCUGGGAAACUGCCCGAUGGAGGGGGAUAACUACUGGAACGGUAGCUAAUACCGCAUAACGUCGCAAGACCAAAGAGGGGACCUUAGGGCCUCUUGCCAUCGGAUGUGCCCAGAUGGGAUUAGCUAGUAGGUGGGGUAAUGGCUCACCUAGGCGACGAUCCCUAGCUGGUCUGAGAGGAUGACCAGCCACACUGGAACUGAGACACGGUCCAG